CAUCUGGCACACAUCUGAAACUGGGACUGCAAACAGACCCUUACAGUGCAACGCAUGGCUGCCUCCUUUUACACCAGGGAACUGUCACUGAAAGAACUGAGAGAUAAUUCAGAAAGAAGGAGAGCAAGAAGAAAUGACAGGAUAAAAGAGCAGGAGUAUCCUGCCAUCAGUCUGCACCGAGAACUCACAUCGACAUCAAUGGAAGCUUCGCAUGCAUUGUGCAGUUUAGCUUCUUGCCACUGUUUGGACCACAACUGUUUGUUUUACCAAAGCGUGAUCUUGGAUCCUCACGAAUGGUUUGAAACUGAACUGAGAUAAAAUAUAAUUGCUUUUGGCAAAUCCUCUCUGCCUACUAGGUGGUUCUCUCUAGGCAAUCGAAACUAUCUAUGCAUAUCUAAAGUAUACAUCUAGAGCUGGUCAGAUCAUUUCCGUGAAAUGAAAUCUCAUGAAAAUAUGCUGCUCUGUCAGAGCCAAAGCAUUUUGUGGAAAACAUCCAUUUAGGUGAAGUUUUAAUCAGGGAGGUACUCAAGACACAAGACUAUUGGUCACUUCUUAUGGGAGAGACAGAGAAAGCAUGCAGCCCAGUUUGAAAACCCAUGAUUUUUCAUUGCAAACCAGUAAUUUUAGGAAAUCACUUAAAAGGUUCUGGUUUUGUUCCCAUGCCAACUGAAAACAAUGUCAACACCACAAAAGCAGCCAUGAAAGAGAAUUACUGUCCUCCAUAAAGGAUGCUCAGAAAAGCUGUACCUGAAUCAUCACAUCAGCAGUGCGAUCCUCCUCCACAGAACAUCCCAUAAAGGUUAUCAGGGCUCAGAAAUUGGUGGCUGGUGUGGCGAGGGGCUCUGACAUGGCAACUGGCAGUUCAUCGCUGCUCAUUCACUGCCUAGGAAAUGGCAAUCAACAGGAGCGCAUGCUUUCUGAUGAGAGAUUCAGGAAAAAAUCACUUUCCAUCCCUGCAAAAAGAAAAUAAUUCCUACUCAGAGAAAAGAUUAAGAUUCAACCUAUAAUAUUUUCCAGAAAUUAAGGUCUAGAGGAAAAUUACACAGUCAGUGUGUACUAGUAUUUAUACAUUUUAAAAAUGUUUUUGAUAUUCCAGAGGACAACUGCUAAUCAAGGGUUCAAAAU
rnacentral:lncRNA from 1 species